AAGUCGUAACAAGGUUUCCGUAGGUGAACCUGCGGAAGGAUCAUUACCAAAAAGGAUACCCUCACCGGUAUACCCCACCCGUGUCUAUCUACUCUUGUUGCUUUGGCAGGCCGUGGUCUCCCACUGUGGGCUCUGCCUGCAUGUGCCUGCCCGAGGACCAAACUCUGAAUUUUAGUGAUGUCUGAGUACUAUAUAAUAGUUAAAACUUUCAACAACGGAUCUCUUGGUUCUG
rnacentral:misc_RNA from 1 species